rnacentral:rRNA from 1 species
AACGGCCGCGGUAUUUUGACCGUGUGAAGGUAGCGUAAUCAUUUGUCUUUUAAAUGAAGACCUGUAUGAAUGGCUUAACGAGGGCUUAACUGUCUCACUUUCUUAGUCAAUGAAAUUGAUCUCCCCGUGCAGAAGCGGGGAUAAACCCAUAAGACGAAAAGACCCUGUGGAGCUUUAGAUAAAAAACAUAUUAUUUUACACAAACCUAAUUCUUCUAAUAGUCAUGUUUUUAAUCUUCGGUUGGGGCGACCAAGGAGUAAAACAAAACCUCCAUGAAUAAGUUAUUUAAAAUUUAAAAUUAAGAAUUACAAUUCUAAAUUUCAGAAAAUCUGACUAAAAGAUCCGGCAUUACAGCCGAUCAACGAAUCAAGUUACCCCAGGGAUAACAGCGCAAUCCCCUUCUAGAGCUCCCAUCGACAAGGGGGUUUACGACCUCGAUGUUGGAUCAGGACAUCCUAAU